GAAAUCGCCUCAAGUUGGCGCAUGCGCGCUUCUAAAAAUGGCCUUCCUAAAAAUGGCAGCGGCCGGGAAGAAGAAUGGCGCCGGUAAUGGAAGCAGCGGCGGCAGCAGCGACGAAGACGACGCGGAGGCCUUGCAGAGAGCCCGGGAGGCCGCCUGGGUCCCUCCCCGCGGAGUCCCGUCGCCGUCGAUCGCCCGCCCUAAUGAGGAAUAUGCAAAUGAGCUGCAAACGAGCGCCGGGUUCAAGGCUCACGUGGCCAAGAAGCUGACAGCCAUCUUGGACAGGUCGGUGACGCUCUGGGAUCGUCCGCCAGGAACCAUAGAGAAGGAACAGGAAGGGGCGGAGCCGCCCGGAGACGGGUUCCGCCUCUUCUCCUCGUCGCUUCCGGAAAAUUCCGAAAAACCCGAAUCCUUGCCUUCCAUGGUGAGGAAGAAGAGGCGAUGCUCCUCCUCCUCGAGGGUCGUCCUUCCUCGGCCUCCUCCUCCUCCUCCUCGUCCUCUCGUCCCUUCCUUUGCGCAGAAGCAUCGAAGUCAAGGGCGUCAAUGAGGUCUUGGGCGGACCGGUCAAGGCAGAGGCUCAGCUGCCGGUCAAGGGGUCGGAGGCCGGGCCCGGCUGCGCAGGGACACUCUACCCGCAGGUCCAGUGCCAGGUCCAGCAGCUACGCCUCUCCGCGCAGGGCCUCCUCCACAACUAUCUGGAGCGCCAGGGCUUCCCCUUCUGGCCGAGCAACGCUGAAGCGCACCGCUCCCUCUGUGCGCCCGGCCCUUCCUUCCCGCGGCUCCGCCCGCCCCUCCGCCCGCCCUCCCCGGCGCUGCUGUGCUCGCUCUCGGGCGCCUUCUCCUUCUUCGAGGCCGCCCUGCAGCGCAUCGCCCUGGACCAGGAGCAGGACUUCGGGGGCCCCGCCGGCCCCGCCUCCGCCCACAACGCCACCGGCCAGGCCGCCCUCCUGCUGCGCCUGCGCGGGGCCCGCUCCGUCACCCGCGGCCUGGCCUCCAACCUGCGCUGCUUCCCCUGCCCUCGCACCCGCCACCCGCCCCGCUUCGGACCCGCGCCCGGGACGGACGCCUUCGAGAAGAAGCGCCGGGGCUGCCAGGCCCUCCAGGCCUACGCCCUGCUCGUGGGGCGCGCGGCCCGGGCCCUGGGGAGGUGCACACCCGGGCGGAGCCACAAGCGUCACGCAUAAUAUAAUAUCAUAGCAUGAUAACAUAAUACAAUAUGAUAGUACUAGCUGCGCCCGGCCACGCGUUGCUGUGGCAAAGUGGUGGUGGUAUUGGUUAUUUGACGUUAUUUGCAUUUUUUUAAAUUAAUUUUAUUGUAAGAUAUAUUUUAUUUAUUAUAUUGUAUUAUUUUUAGUUAUUUUCUGUUAUUAUAGUAUUUUAUUGUAUUAAUUUUUUAGUGUUUUUUAUUAUUUUUUUGGGUUGCUAGGAGACCAAGUUGGAGGAGCUUAGCCUUCUAACUGGCAGCCAUUGGAUAAAAGCAAUUAUUCCUCUCUCUCUCUAAUUAGGACUUUAUUUUUCUUUUCUUUUUGUUGUAUCAACCUAGAGGCGUGGGUGAUGGGUUGUGUUGUCAAAUUUCGAGGUUGGGGGGCCUGUAGUUUUGUUGUUUUGUGCGUCGCCGUGAUGCCAUCACUCUUUUAUAUAUAGAUAGAUCUCUAUAUAUAAAAGGGUAGUGAAGUUUCGGCUGAGGACAAAACAACAAAACCACAAAUCCCAGAAACACUCAACUUGGCAGCACAACCCCUCAUCCAUGCCUCUACGUUCAUACAACAAACAGCUCCAGCUAUUCCAGAAAACAGCCAGGCUUUGAGACUGCAAGGCUAUUCACUGCUAUUCCACCUGGCCAACAAAGGAUUCCCAUCAGCUACAGCAACGCGUGGCCGGGCAAAGCUAGUAUAAUAUAAUAUAAUCUAUAUAUAUAUUGUACUGUAAUCUAUUAUAUAUUGUACUGUACUAUAUUACAUUACAUUUUAGUAUAUUAUAAUAUAUUGUAUUAUUUUAUAAAUAUAUGUAUGUAUUAUAUUGCCUUUUUAUAUAUUAAUAUUAUAUUAUAAAUAUUAUAGAAUAUUUAUAUCAUAAUAAUAAUAAUAAUAAUUGCUUGCCUAAUAUCAUAUGAUUUUAUAAUAAAAUAUAAUAUUUAUUUAUUUAGAAAAACUUGUCUCAGCAAUAUAGUCUAGCAUUGCACUGUAUUGCAUUGUAUCCCAAUCCAGUAUGAUUGUUCAUAUGUAUAUCUACCUCGCAGGGUUGGUGUUAUUUUAUAUUGUUUCUAUUUUAUUAUAAUUAUAAUAAUAAUAAUUGUUAUUAUUUCUAUUUUAUUCUAUUAUUCUUGCUGCCGGUCAGCUCUGGAAAAUAAUGAUUAUUAAUUAUUUAAUUUUGGGAAAAUAGACUCGAAUUAUUGUAUUUAUUGUUUUAGUGUAUAUUAAAAAUAAUAAUAAUGAUAAUGUAUUUAUUGUAAUUUCCUGGUGUAUAUUAAGCAAUAAUAACAAUAAUAAUAAUACUGUAUUUUUGUGACUAUAUAUAUAGAGAGAGAUAGAUCGAUAUUGUUGCUUGUAUAUAUUUUUAUACUUUCUACCAAAAAUAUAUGUAUAUAUUGUUAUUUUAUGAA